AGCGAACGCUGGCGGCAGGCCUAACACAUGCAAGUCGAACGAACCUUUCGGGGUUAGUGGCGGACGGGUGAGUAACACGUGGGAACGUGCCUUUAGGUUCGGAAUAACUCAGGGAAACUUGUGCUAAUACCGCAUGUGCCCUUCGGGGGUAAGAUUUAUCGCCUUUAGAGCGGCCCGCGUCUGAUUAGCUAGUUGGUUGAGGUAAUGGCUCACCAAGGCGACGAUCAGUAGCUGGUCUGAGAGGAUGAUCAGCCACAUUGGGACUGAGACACGGCCCAAACUCCUACGGGAGGCAGCAGUGGGGAAUCUUGCGCAAUGGGCGAAAGCCUGACGCAGCCAUGCCGCGUGAAUGAUGAAGGUCUUAGGAUUGUAAAAUUCUUUCACCGGGGACGAUAAUGACGGUACCCGGAGAAGAAGCCCCGGCUAACUUCGUG
rnacentral:rRNA from 1 species